AAACAUAGCAGCCAUGGGAUUAAGUUCGGCACGUGCACCAUAAGAGAACUUCUGUAGAAGUUUUGGGUUUAUAUCGUCCAGUUUGACAUUCCCAUUACUUUCAUUUAAAUUGGUCGCAAUAGAUAUCAGCGUCUGAGCAUCAUCUUCUGAACCAGCAAGAGGAAACCGUGCCAAAUCUGAUCUGAACUUGUCUAAUGCUUGGAAUGCCAAAUGUAGCAGAGGUGGGCGGUCAAACUUUGAAAAAUCACUAAGAAGGAAAUCGCCAGGAUCCAUGAUAGAUUCCCUCAGUGUCUUGAAGUUCAAAAUUUUGGGUGGCUUCACCUGAGUAACAAUACCACCUCUUACAUAGGGACCAAAGUUCGUUGUGUCUUCAUCGAGGGUAAAGGAAUAAGGUCUUGCACUGCUAAUUUUUCUUGGCUUGCCAUCAUUAAGUUCUGUCAUGCCCUGUACUUCUGAAAAGACAACUAGGUCCCCAUCCUGAAACUCAAGCCUUUCAUCAUCCACACACGAAAUUAGGGCAGGGUUAUCAUUACUAAUUGAUGCAAUAAUACCCGUAUGAGGUUCUUCACCAUCUACAUCAAAAACUGUAAACUCAGGGCCAAAAUCACAGAAGACAUAACCAAAUAGACCCCUCACUUCAGUUCUGAUAAAUGCAAUAGGGGGUUGAUGGUUGUGGCAGUAGUCAUUGAAUUCUAGUGCGUCCUCUAAGCUGGUGUUAGUAAAUACCACAGCCUGGAAAUCAGAAAGCUUUUCUUUGGUCAAUUUUGUCGUAAAACUUGAGACAACCACAGCAUUGUUGAGUUCUUGUAGCUUUUGAACAGAAGCAAGCGCUCUGUUCAUGCCAACAUCACUCUCUGAGAAAAUAAAAUUGCUAGACAAAUCCCACAACUGCACUUCUCCUUCAUCAUGCAGAGUCACAGACUUUACACCAGCAAGUAUAAGAUUCUUUGCUAUUUCAGCACCAAGCCCUUGGAUUCCUGAGACAAGAACGUUAGAAGCAAAGAGCCGCCGCAUAGUUUCACGGCCAUACACGGCGAGCUGUCUGCUGUGGAGAUCCUCAUCAAUAUCAUGUGGAUUUCCAUCAUCAAAAGCCAUUUCAGUCACUGACCGUUCACCAACACUACCGCUGCUAGUGUUACCGUUUGUAUUAUUACUUACGACCUUGUUACUACUGCAACCACUGGUAUUCUCUUCGGUACCGGAAGAAAUCACGCAACUAAUUUUAUGCUUUUUAAGAGAACUUUCUGGAUCACAACUGCUACUGUUACCUUCAACUACCACGCCUUCUGCCGGUCUCUUUCUAGGAAGCAUAUAGUGCAACAAACGAUUGAACGAGAAGAUAUGAGUGAAAAUGAUUGAUCGGAAAGAUGGAGAAGUAAUGGAGAAGAAUUUUCAUGUGUAGAGUGAAGAAGAAGUUUCAAUAGUGAAGAGGUGAAGGGGUAUUUAUGGAUUUAAUUUUUUUUUCUCGGUUUAGAGAUUUUGAGGGGUUUACAGAAAAAAAAUGGGUAGCGUUUCG
rnacentral:misc_RNA from 1 species